rnacentral:rRNA from 1 species
UACGUAGGUGACCAGCGUUGUCCGGAUUUACUGGGCGUAAAGAGCGCGCAGGCGGUCGUUCAAGUCGAGUGUGAAAGCCCCCGGCUCAACUGGGGAGGGUCAUUCGAUACUGAUCGACUGGAAGGCAGGAGAGGGAAGCGGAAUUCCCGGUGUAGUGGUGAAAUGCGUAGAUAUCGGGAGGAACACCAGUGGCGAAGGCGGUUGCCUGGAGCUUUGCUGACGCUGAUGCGCGAAAGCGUGGGGAGCGAUCCGG